ACCUGGUUGAUCCUGCCAGUAGUCAUAUGCUUGUUUCAAGGAUUAAGCCAUGCAAGCCUCAGAGUACAUGGAUCUCUUCAAAUUGGUCUGCGAACGGCUCAUUAAACCAGCUUCAAUCCACAUGAUAUGUCAAGGCUUCGGCCUUCUCUCUCGGAUAUCCGACCUAACUGGUUGGUUAAUACGUGGAUGAAGCCGCAACCACCUUCCAUUCAAGUGGUGAGGGGAAACCUGAACCACGGAGGGUGGUUGACAAUUGACUGAUCGUAACAAGCCAACACUCGAAAGAGUAGUCUGUCUUGAUGAAUCAAGUCAAUCAUUGAUAUAGCGCAUGUGUUACACUGGCGCUGGAUCAUACGAGAUUCUGACCUAUCAGCUUUAGAUGGUAGUGUAAAGGACUACCAUGGCUUUGACGGGUAACGGAGGAUCAGAGUUCGAUCCCGGAGAGGGAGCCUGAGAUACGGCUACCACAUCCAUGGAAGGCAGCAGGCGCGUAAAUUACCCAAUGCCAACAAUUGGCGAGGUAGCGAUGAAACAUAACAACUCUGCUGGUCAGCUGAUCAGUGGAGAUUGUAAUGGAUGAUAUCCAAAACUCUCAAUGAGUAACAAUCGGAGGGCAAGUCUGGUGCCAGCAGCCGCGGUAAUUCCAGCUCCGAUAGUGUAUAUUAGAAUUGUUGCUGUUAAAACGCUCGUAGUUGGAUUCAGAUCAGCGCUGAAUGGAGGCCCAAUGGGUCCUGGCUUCGGUCUUGAUUCCUGCGGGGUAUCCCUCUGUUCGUUGGGCGUUGCAUCAACCACACACGGAAAUGAUUCCUCGCUGAAGCCUCCUUUACUGGUGGUGGAAGCAAUCACACAUCAAGCAUGUGUUCACAGGACGUCCGUGGUAGUUACCGUGAACAAAUCAGCGUGUCCAAAGCAACCGACGUGUUCGGCUGUAUGACAUAGCAUGGCACAACAACACAUCUUCGACCAUUGUGGUCUUGGUUUGUUUGUUGGCUUAGACGACCCGUAUGGGCAAUGCAGGGUAGGACUUCUCCCAGUGCUUCCGCCUUCUACUUUGGUAGCUGGUUGAUGUUGCUGUGGAGAACCUACUCCUAUCGGGAUUAAGAGAGCUUGGCGGUGGGAUACAUAUUCCUACGCGAGAGGUGAAAUUCUUAGACCGUAGGAAGAUGAACUAAAGCGAAGGCAUUUCUCAAGCAUGCUUUCAUUAAUCAAGAACGUAAGUGUGGGGAUCGAAGAUGAUCAGAUACCAUCGUAGUCCACACUGUAAACUAUGCCAGCACAGAGCCAGGUGUCUGUUUACGAACAUGACUCACCUGGCACUACCCCCAAUAACGAGAAAUCCUAAGCUUCUGGGUUCAGGGGGGAGUACAUUCGCAAGACUGAAACUUAAAGGAAUUGACGGAAUGACACCACCAGGCGUGGAGUAUGCGGCUUAAUUUGACUCAACACGGGGAAUUUUACCAGGUCAGGACAAAGUUAGGAUUGACAGACUGCUGGCUCUUUCAUGAUCCCUUGGAUGGUGGUGCAUGGCCGUUCCUGGUUGGUGGAGUGAUCUGUCUGGUUGAUUCCGCUAACGAACGAGAUCCCUGCCUCUAACUACGUACCACCCUCGUAUACAUGUAGGGCAUCAUUCAUGUAGUUUCGGCUACUGGAUGGUUCCUGAGAGAAGUGGCUAGCUUCUUAGAGGAACUGUUUAUGUCUUUAGUAAACGGAAGAGAGGGCCAAUAGCAGGUCUGUGAUGCUCCUAAAUGUCCUGGGCCGCACGCGCACUACAAUGAUACGGUGAACGAGUUGAUGUCGUCUCUGACUCCUGCCCUGAAGAGAGUGGGAAAUCCUUUGAAACCGUAUCGUUGCGGGGAUAGCUGAUUGCAAUUAUUUGCCUUCAACUAGGAAUGCCUAGUAAGCGCGAGUCAUCAUCUCGCACUGACUAUGUCCCUGCCAUUUGUACACACCGCCCGUCGUUGCUACCGAUUGGUAUUUGAAUAGAGGGGCCGGGAGAUGCUCCUUCCAAGCUUGCUUGUUAGUAUGUGUCGAACUCCCCCAAUAUUCCAAUACUAGAGGAAGCAAAAGUCGUAACAAGGUUACUGUAGGUGAACCUGCAGAAGGAUC
rnacentral:rRNA from 1 species